rnacentral:rRNA from 1 species
UACGUAGGGUGCGAGCGUUGUCCGGAAUUAUUGGGCGUAAAGAGCUCGUAGGCGGUGUGUCGCGUCGGCCGUGAAAACCUGCAGCUUAACUGUGGGCGUGCGGUCGAUACGGGCAUCACUGGAGUUCGGCAGGGGAGACUGGAAUUCCUGGUGUAGCGGUGGAAUGCGCAGAUAUCAGGAGGAACACCAGUGGCGAAGGCGGCUCACUGGCCCGGUACUGACGCUGAGGUGCGAAAGCGUGGGGAGCAAACAGG